rnacentral:rRNA from 1 species
AACGAACGCUGGCGGCAUGCCUAACACAUGCAAGUCGAACGAGACCUUCGGGUCUAGUGGCGCACGGGUGCGUAACGCGUGGGAACCUGCCCUUAGGUUCGGUAUAACUCCCCGAAAGGGGUGCUAAUACCGGUUAAUGUCUUCGGACCAAGGAGUUAUCGCCUUUGGGUGGGCCCGCGUUGGAUUAGCUAGUUGGUAGGGUAAAAGCCUACCAAGGCGACGAUCCAUAGCUGGUCUGAGAGGAUGAUCAGCCACACUGGGAAUGAGACACGGCCCAGACUCCUACGGGAGGCAGCAGUGGGGAAUAUUGGACACUGGGCGAUAGCCUGAUCCAGCAAUGCCGCGUGAGUGAUGAAGGCCUUAGGGUUGUAAAGCUCUUUUACCCGGGAUGAUAAUGACAGUACCGGGAGAAUAAGCUCCGGCUAACUACGUG